rnacentral:rRNA from 1 species
AAUGAACGCUGGCGGCAGGCCUAACACAUGCAAGUCGAACGGAUCCUUCGGGAUUAGUGGCGGACGGGUGAGUAACGCGUGGGAACAUACCCUUUGGUACGGAAUAGCCUCGGGAAACUGGGAGUAAUACCGUAUGUGGUCGAGAGACGAAAGAUUUAUCGCCAAAGGAUUGGCCCGCGUUGGAUUAGGUAGAUGGUGGGGUAAUGGCCUACCAAGCCCACGAUCCAUAGCUGGUUUGAGAGGAUGAUCAGCCACACUGGGACUGAGACACGGCCCAGACUCCUACGGGAGGCAGCAGUGGGGAAGCUUAGACAAUGGGGGAAACCCUGAUCUAGCCAUGCCGCGUGAUCGAUGAAGGCCUUAGGUUUGGAAAGAUCUUUCAGGUGGGAAGAUAAUGACUGUACCACCAGAAGAAGCCCCGGCUAACUCCGUGCCAGCCGCCGCCGUAA